rfam:Myotis brandtii contig178926, whole genome shotgun sequence.
UGGCUCAGUGGAGAGAGCGUUGGCCUGCAGACCCAAGGGUCCCAGGUUCGAUUCUGG